rnacentral:rRNA from 1 species
UUGGUUAAGUUAGAAAGGGCGCACGGUGGAUGCCUUGGCACUAGGAGCCGAAGAAGGACGGGACUAACACCGAUAUGCUUUGGGGAGCUGUACGUAAGCGUUGAUCCAGAGAUUUCCGAAUGGGGGAACCCACUAUCUUUAGUCGGAUAGUAUCCUUACGUGAAUACAUAGCGUAAGGAAGGCAGACCCAGGGAACUGAAACAUCUAAGUACCUGGAGGAAGAGAAAGAAAAAUCGAUUUCCUGAGUAGCGGCGAGCGAAACGGAAAGAGCCCAAACCAAGAAGCUUGCUUCUUGGGGUUGUAGGACACUCUAUACGGAGUUACAAAAGAAAGUUAUAAAUGAAGCGGUCUGGAAAGGCCCGCCAAAGACGGUAACAGCCCGGUAGUUGAAAUGGCUUUCCCUCCAGAGUGGAUCCUGAGUACGGCGGAACACGUGAAAUUCCGUCGGAAUCCGGGAGGACCAUCUCCCAAGGCUAAAUACUCCCUAGUGACCGAUAGUGAACCAGUACCGUGAGGGAAAGGUGAAAAGCACCCCGGAAGGGGAGUGAAACAGUUCCUGAAACCGUGUGCCUACAAGUAGUUAGAGCCCGUUAAUGGGUGAUAGCGUGCCUUUUGUAGAAUGAACCGGCGAGUUACGAUUUGUUGCAAGGUUAAGCGGAAAAAGCGGAGCCGUAGCGAAAGCGAGUCUGAAUAGGGCGCAUAAGUAACAGGUCGUAGACCCGAAACCAGGUGAUCUACCCAUGUCCAGGAUGAAGGUAAGGUAAUACUUACUGGAGGUCCGAACCCACGCACGUUGAAAAGUGCGGGGAUGAGGUGUGGGUAGCGGAGAAAUUCCAAUCGAACUUGGAGAUAGCUGGUUCUCUCCGAAAUAGCUUUAGGGCUAGCCUCGAGGUAAAGAGUCAUGGAGGUAGAGCACUGUUUGGACUAGGGGCCCUUCUCGGGUUACCGAAUUCAGAUAAACUCCGAAUGCCAUGUACUUAUACUCGGGAGUCAGACUGCGAGUGAUAAGAUCCGUAGUCGAAAGGGAAACAGCCCAGACCACCAGUUAAGGUCCCCAAAUAUAUGUUAAGUGGAAAAG